UGUAAAAUCUUGCAGUAAUAAUGCAUUUUAUCAUCGGGAUAGGUCUUCUACUUUGCUUUGUGUCUGUAGAUUCAUGUUUAAUGUCGAGGCUUGGAUUGGCAAUUGUUGAGCCAGUUCACACCAUCAAAGAACUAACAACACUUGGUCCAGGGGAUACAAUUCAAAAAGAAGUUGGAUUGACUUCUGGCACAGAUGAUGGUAAAGAAGAUGUUACAGAAAAUAUAACAAAAGAUAUUACAGAAGAUGUUACAAAAUACAUAGCAGAAGAUGUUACAGAAAAAUAUAACAGAAGUGUUACAAAAAAUGUUACAAAAGAUGUCACAGAAUGAUAAACAUGAAAAUGGAAAUGUUUUAGAAAAUUAAAAACAUGUCUAAAACACCAAAUCUCUCAAUUAUUAAAUGUAAUACAAAAAAAAAAUAAAAACUUUGAAAUAAUUAAUAAAAAAUUAUUUUUCUGGCAUU